UUCAUCGUUGCCGAUCGAGUAGUCUAACUGCCCAGGCUUUCAUCGUCUUUCUAACUCACCGAUCGACUAACUGACGCAGCGAACUUCAACAGCGGAGAGGUCCUCGAUCGGCGUUGCUUAUUCUCAGCUGCUGCUGCUGCUGCUGUUGUUGUUGUUGAUGCCUACAGAUAUCAAUAGCCAAGGACCAGCUACACGAAUAUGAAGAGUUCUGCAAUGGCAUUUGCCUUAGGUGAUUCCUAUGCGACUUACAAUGGACGGUACCAACCCCCGACCUGCCGGCAUCAACGGCAGGUUCUCUUGUGUCUACCUUGCGGUGGCUUCGAAGGUAGCUUCGAUUGUGACUCUCUGGUCUGGUACCUGACGUCGAAUCGACUGACUUCGAUAUCGCGCACCGAUCGAAACAAAAACAGAUACCGAGAAACGUCGUCGGUUGCUGACAGCUAAAAAAGAGGCGACCACAACGCCAACAGCGGCCAUUAUGGAAGCAGCCUAUGUCACAACUAUCCACCCACGCAUUGUCUGAACGCUACACAAAUGUAUAUAAAUAGAUAACAGUUGUUACCGAUAACUAAGAGGUGUUCUCUUGCGAAUUGCUCUUCUUUCUCGCUAGCUACAAACAAAGUGAGAAUUGCAAACAGCAAACGUUACUGCGCUCAACAACGUUCGAAGUUUUGGGCUAGAUUUGGGCUAUUUCUUUCUAACGAACGGCAUCUGUAAAUAAUACCAAAAUGGAACAAUCUAACCUAUACUGCUGCUAUGUCAUCUGCUAUAAUACAUAAUGGUUACAGCUGUAAGCACGAUGAUAAUUAGGAGGCGUCGCUAUUGUCCGGCUCAUUCGUAACGAUGACGCUUAUCUGUAGUUUUGUACUAGUAGAGAUAAUCAAGUUUCUCACGAUAUGACGCUAUUACCCUCCUCUAUAAUCAUACCAUUACGUAAUAUUAUAUUAUAACCGUUACUAUGACUACAAGAACUAUAACUGCACCGGAACGCCCACCGUCGACGAAGUGUUAACGCUGACGCUGCUUUGAAGUGGGCUGGACCACUUCAGCGACAGAUAAGAAAGCUAAGUUUAUCGAACGGAUGCUUCUUGAGCUAAAACCGUCACUCGGUUAAAUUUGCUAAAAAUUAGAUGGUUAAUACUGAAGGUAAACAUGAAAGAGGGGUAUCGUCCCUGCUUUGUCGUUCAAUGGGGUAAUCUCUUAA